GAUGAACGCUGGCGGCGUGCCUAAUACAUGCAAGUCGAGCGAACGGACGAGAAGCUUGCUUCUCUGAUGUUAGCGGCGGACGGGUGAGUAACACGUGGAUAACCUACCUAUAAGACUGGGAUAACUUCGGGAAACCGUAGCUAAUACCGGAUAAUAUUUUGAACCGCAUGGUUCAAAAGUGAAAGACGGUCUUGCUGUCACUUAUAGAUGGAUCCGCGCUGCAUUAGCUAGUUGGUAAGGUAACGGCUUACCAAGGCAACGAUGCAUAGCCGACCUGAGAGGGUGAUCGGCCACACUGGAACUGAGACACGGUCCAGACUCCUACGGGAGGCAGCAGUGGGGAAUCUUCCGCAAUGGGCGAAAGCCUGACGCAGCAACGCCGCGUGAGUGAUGAAGGUCUUCGGAUCGUAAAACUCUGUUAUUAGGGAAGAACAUAUGUGUAAGUAACUGUGCACAUCUUGACGGUACCUAAUCAGAAAGCCACGGCUAACUACGUG
rnacentral:rRNA from 1 species